AUUGAACGCUGGCGGCAGGCCUAACACAUGCAAGUCGAGCGGAUGAAGGGAGCUUGCUCCUGGAUUCAGCGGCGGACGGGUGAGUAAUGCCUAGGAAUCUGCCUGGUAGUGGGGGAUAACGUCCGGAAACGGGCGCUAAUACCGCAUACGUCCUGAGGGAGAAAGUGGGGGAUCUUCGGACCUCACGCUAUCAGAUGAGCCUAGGUCGGAUUAGCUAGUUGGUGGGGUAAAGGCCUACCAAGGCGACGAUCCGUAACUGGUCUGAGAGGAUGAUCAGUCACACUGGAACUGAGACACGGUCCAGACUCCUACGGGAGGCAGCAGUGGGGAAUAUUGGACAAUGGGCGAAAGCCUGAUCCAGCCAUGCCGCGUGUGUGAAGAAGGUCUUCGGAUUGUAAAGCACUUUAAGUUGGGAGGAAGGGCAGUAAGCUAAUACCUUGCUGUUUUGACGUUACAAACAGAAUAAGCACCGGCUAACUUCGUG
rnacentral:rRNA from 1 species